rnacentral:rRNA from 1 species
CCGAAGAAGGACGCGAUAAGCUGCGAUAAGCCUUGGGUAGCCGCAAAUAGGCUGAGAUCCAGGGAUUUCCGAAUGAGGAAACUCACAUGGGUAACCCCAUGUAUCAUGCACUGAAUACAUAGGUGUAGGAGGGUAAACCCGGGGAACUGAAACAUCUAAGUACCCGGAGGAAGAGAAAGAAAAAUCGAUUUCCUAAGUAGCGGCGAGCGAACGGGAAAGAGCCCAAACCAGAAACUUGUUUCUGGGGUUG